UCUAGCUUCCAUGAUCGGCGACGCCAAGGCCCCAUGGGACUUUCCAGUAUGUGCCCUGCAAGUGCCGACUACAGGAGUAGGCUGACUUUCACUGACUCUCACUGCCGCACUGCGGCCGGGACUGCUGUCAUGCCACCACAUCCAUGCAGUUAUAGAGGACUAUGUCUCGCAAUAUUUUCAAGCCUGACCUCCCUGAAACAGACUAACGUUAGCAAUGUUAUAACAUGUUUUUACAGCGUAGAAUAGCCCGAAUAUUAAUCGUAUGCCAUAUCCUUUCAUGUUGAACUAUGUC